UACUAACUCUGGCGGCGUGCCUAAUACAUGCAAGUAGAACGCUGAAGCGAGGAGCUUGCUCUUCUUGGAUGAGUUGCGAACGGGUGAGUAACGCGUAGGUAACCUGCCUUGUAGCGGGGGAUAACUAUUGGAAACGAUAGCUAAUACCGCAUAACAAUGGAUGACACAUGUCAUUUAUUUGAAAGGGGCAAUUGCUCCACUACAAGAUGGACCUGCGUUGUAUUAGCUAGUAGGUGAGGUAAUGGCUCACCUAGGCGACGAUACAUAGCCGACCUGAGAGGGUGAUCGGCCACACUGGGACUGAGACACGGCCCAGACUCCUACGGGAGGCAGCAGUAGGGAAUCUUCGGCAAUGGGGGCAACCCUGACCGAGCAACGCCGCGUGAGUGAAGAAGGUUUUCGGAUCGUAAAGCUCUGUUGUAAGUCAAGAACGGGUGUGAGAGUGGAAAGUUCACACUGUGACGGUAGCUUACCAGAAAGGGACGGCUAACUACGUG
rnacentral:rRNA from 1 species